UGGGCAAAAAGCAUAAAUUGCAAGUGCUAAAAGAGGAAAUACAAAUGACACAUUUAUUUUAAAAGUGUCUUUUUUUUAAAGUUUUUUUUUUUGAUGUGGACCAUUUUUUUAACAUCUUUGUUCAAUAUGUUACAAUAUUGCUUCUGUUUUAUGUUUUAGGGUUUUUUUGGCUCCGAGGCAUGUGGGAUCUUAGCUCCCCGACAAGGGAUCGAACCUGCACCCCCUGCACUGGAAAGCGAAGUCUUAACCACUGGACUGCCAGGGACGUCCCUAAAAAGCAUCUUUAGAUCACCAAUAAUCCCCUGAAAAUGCAUUGUUUAGUUUUAAUUAUACCCAAACUUUUAAAAAGUUUUAUCAUGUCUGGGUUGAUGAGGAUGUAGUUAAUGAACACUCGUGUGUUAUUACAGGAAAUGUAAACGAAUACAUUUUCUGGAGAACAGUUUGGUAACAAAUAUGAAAUUUAAGAUAUAUAGACUCUAACCAAGUAACCUCGCAUUUAGAAAUUAAUCCUGAGGAAAUUAUUGGACAAGUGUGCAAAGAUACCAACACACACAAUAUGAUUUCUAUUUUCAGAUAACAAUUGGAUAUAGCCUAACUUACUACCAAUAGAGUAUUAUUGAAACAAAUUGUUAAUCACACAAUAAUGAAAAAGGUGUUUUAAAGUGUUUAUAGGAUGGACUAGGUAGUAUGAGCAUGUAUAUAUAUACAUAAAGAAUGUAUACAUUCUUUAUAGCCACUAUUUUGGAGGGGAUGAUGCGGUUUUCUGUCACACACAGCAAGCUAAUUUCAAAGGCUACAGCAUAUUGCUUUUAUAGUAUGAAAACAUUUCUAUGUUGAGAAAAGCACACAUCUGUAAAAAAGCACACAUCUUUUUCUGGCUUAGAUGUCUUUUGUAGCCCGAAGGGCAUAAAAACCAGUAAAAAUAAUAUCAAACCCACCCUAAUAGAGACCAAAUAAGUUCUUUACACUUACGUUUUUCCCCAGGAGAUUCUCCCAAAGGCAGUUUGCUUCCCUUAUCCAUGGGAUCUAGAAGGUAUGAGAAAGAAAGUGAUUUUUAAAUAAGCAAUCUUUAUGUUUUGUGACCACAUUCAUUUCCGACAAUACUGAGUUGGUAAAGCUUUGACAGUAUUAUUUCUAUCCCUUUCAUUAUAAAGGAGGAUGAUGGUUCCUGAAGAGGGUUCUAGGGACCAAGAUGCUAGUCCUGUGCCAGCCAGCCUUUAUCCACAGAAUCUUGGGAAAACCCAUUAAUCCUUUACCUCUCAAAUUUGAAUAAAUCAUUCAACUUUCUCCAAAGGUGGUUGUGAAAAUAAAAUAUAUUAUUCAGGAUAAAAUUAGAAAUAUACAUUGUAUGAGUCAGUGUAAUGCAGGAAAAACUUGUUAAAAAUGAUAGUUUGUAUUUUAAUACGGUCAAAUAUAAUUCAUUCUUUCUGACAAUAAUUAGAUAUUUGUCAUUUGAAAGUCACAUUUGUUGUGUGGGAGUUCUGUGAAGAUGUGACACAGUGACUGAAUUACCAGCAAACAGAAGAAUGCUCUGCUUUUUUCUUCCCUCCAAGGAUAACAGUAACAAUAAAGGUCAUGUGAGAAACAUGGAGAUUGGGAUCUUAGGAAAAACCUGGAUGGCUUGGCACUGCAAUAAAGUACCAUGGAUAUACUUAGAGCAUGAAUACUUGGCAGUGGGAAUCCACGUGGAAUCUCCCAGAGACCCAGGAAGGACCUUGCACACUCUGGAGCUGAAGCCUGGAGGUUCCAGUCCUGAUGAGACCCUGCGACUACCUCCUGAGAAUAAUUCUACCGCUGGUCCUGUCUGCCACUCAGGGGAGGAGCAGAGCAAGGCUGGUCAGCAGUGGUUCCUCCACUAAUGGAAUGUCCAGUGGGGGGCAGUCAUCUGAGCCCCUGGACCAGAGGUUUCGGGGAGCCCCGGCAAUACUUUCAGGAGACCUUCAAGGAGAGACCCUCCCACGCUGAGCAUUCAGAUGACAAAUUCCAUCACCAGUCUUACCCUCUGGUGCAGGCGUUUGGGCACAUUCUGUCCUUCUCUUUUUUGCUCUUGUCAUGACCU